AUUGAACGCUGGCGGCAGGCCUAACACAUGCAAGUCGAGCGGAUGAAGGGAGCUUGCUCCUGGAUUCAGCGGCGGACGGGUGAGUAAUGCCUAGGAAUCUGCCUGGUAGCGGGGGAUAACGUCCGGAAACGGGCGCUAAUACCGCAUACGUCCUGAGGGAGAAAGUGGGGGAUCUUCGGACCUCACGCUAUCAGAUGAGCCUAGGUCGGAUUAGCUAGUUGGUGGGGUAAAGGCCUACCAAGGCGACGAUCCGUAACUGGUCUGAGAGGAUGAUCAGUCAAACUGGAACUGAGACACGGUCCAGACUCCUACGGGAGGCAGCAGUGGGGAAUAUUGGACAAUGGGCGAAAGCCUGAUCCAGCCAUGCCGCGUGUGUGAAGAAGGUCUUCGGAUUGUAAAGCACUUUAAGUUGGGAGGAAGGGCAGUAAGUUAAUACCUUGCUGUUUUGACGUUACCAACAGAAUAAGCACCGGCUAACUUCGUG
rnacentral:rRNA from 1 species